rnacentral:ncRNA from 1 species
CGUCGCGAGGCGGAAUCCGAAGGAAGCCGGAGGCGAAACCUCGGCCCGAGGGACACGAACCGCAUCAGGCGGGCGCGGAGGGUGAGGCCGCCGAACAGGCCGAAGCCCCAUAGCUGCACGGAAUCCGCGGGCGUAAAUGCGGCGGGCACGCGAGGCGAAAGGC